rnacentral:lncRNA from 1 species
UUUCGUACUUUAAUAAAAAAAACUUUUUUUUUUCUAAAUAAUGACUAUUUUGUAUAAUAUUAGUAUAAACUAUUUAACAUAUAAGUACUACUCAUUCAAUAGUUUAUUUUUUUAAUUUAUUAGAGAAAGAGUGGUGCAUAUAUAAUUCAAAUAAAAGGUAAUUUCAUAUUGCAAAAAAGUUUGUGGAAAAAGGAAAUUUGAACAAGCAUUGAAAUUUAUAGGAACAAUAUUGGAAACCUAGUUUUAGGUUUGUCCCAUACCAACAAUCAUGACUUGGUAGUAGCCUAAUCUCAUAUCUAACUUUGUCAAGCCCUUCCUUUACUAAGUUGAUCAAACAAGUUGUUAAAAAGCAUAAUACAAUAUUUUUCACUUUCACCUUGUUGAGUCUUCGAUAAUCUAUACACAUUCAAAGGGAUCCAUUAUGUUUCUUUUAGAAUAAUAUUGGUGUGGCAUACGAAGCUUUAGUUUGUUGGAUGUAUCCCAUGUUAAGCAACUCCUUAAGUUGUUUCCUUAGUUCUUCUAAAUUACGUAGUGCCAUCCUAUUGGACCUCCAUGGCAAAGGGCUUAGCUCCUGGCUCUAAAUCAAUCUUGUGCUCCCCUUCCCUUAUUUGUGUGAAUUUCUUAUGUAAAUUUAAUGGCAUCUAAGGAUGACAAAGUUUGAUACAAUUUGUACGUCAACCAGACUUGAACCCGAGCAUUUUUAGUGAGUUUGUGUUUCCAUACCGUAAGUUGGAUUCAUGAAAGUCUCAGACUUGAAUCAAUUGAAUUAAAAAUAAAUAUUCAUGUUGUUAUUAAUUUAGUUUCUUUUACUUAGUUUUACUAAAUAAAAUUUUAUUCACAUAUUGUUUUUCACUUUAGGAUUUAAAUAAAAGUGAUUCAUUUAUCCUAGUAUUGACAAAUUCCAUAGCCAGACCUAGAGGAUGAUACUCGGAGUACUAUAAAAGUUGUAGUGACUUUUUCUCUGAUUUUUCUUAAUCAAAGUUACUACAUAAAAAGACUUAGUAUUUGAACAAUAGAGAAGAAUGGUCAAAAUUCAAGUAAAAUGGAAUGAUUAAUAUUAAUGAAUUUUUACCAUAAUAAAGAAUGAUACUUGAUUCUAGACUACUUAGGUAUGGAUUAAAAGAUUAACAUUAGAUAGAAUAACUCACGUAUAUUAAAGCAUUUUGCUAAGUUCUUUUUAUCCUUGAUCUUUUAUGAGAUUGAGCCAAUAAGGUUACACUUAAAAAUUUAAUGUGUUUGAAACACUCCUCUAAAAUCAAUCAUUCAAAUAUUAGAAAACAAGUAAAAUAUUUUUCAUAUGCUGAUUAAUAUACCCAAGGUAGUUCUUGAAUUAUCCUAACACAAAUAUCUUGCGAGUCUUAAUUUUGUCAAAUCAAUAUAUAUCUUUAGAUUUCUAAAGAAACUACUAUACUCGCGCACAUUCAUCCAUGAGUUAGGUAGAUUUUAUCUCUUGUAAGAGUUCAAAGAUACUGCAAACAAAAUUCACUGUACAAUUAAUAUCUCUCAAUGGUAUGUUAUUCAACUAAAACUAGUAGUGUCUUAUGUUAAUGGGCUUAGUUUUAUAAUGUAAAACUAGAUCUUUAAUACAUUAAUAGCUCUCAUGUUAUCACAAGGCAUAAUUAUGAUUUAUCACUCUCACCAUAAUCCUUUUAACAUACGUUUUAUCGAAAGUAAUUGCUUGGUUUGUUAGCUUCUUAUUAAGCUAGGCAACUGAGCAAUUAAAAUAUAGAAACAUCCCCUAUAAGUGUUCUUCCGUUCUUUAGACCUUCCAUCCCUAUUCAACAUUUGUAUGAAAAAUGUUGUCUACAAAUAUAUUGGUGUAAUACCACAAUCCAAGUUUAUAAGUACCAACCACAAAUAUAAUGAUUCUAUUAACAACUCCAAGGUGUGAUUUCUUAGGAAGAUUCUUAUCACGCAUAAACUCCAGUUCUAUAGGUUUAUCCAGCCUAAAUGUCAUUACAUAAAGAAGGCUUCCAACCAUUGAUCUACAGGUGGAUAGAUUUACAAACUUACCACUCCCAUCUCUUGUAAAAAUUUUCCUACAACUUUUCUAUUGUCGUGACCUAGCUAAGUUCAGCCAUUUUAAUUUAGCUUAUAGAGAGGGCCCCAUCGCUAACAUUUCCAAUCACAUUGUUGAUAGGAUGAUCACUAAUUUCUCUAAUUUUGCUCCAUGUGGAUGUUUGCUUGAUUUUCAUUGAGUUCAUUCACAUUCUCAAUCAUUCAACUCUUUUUUCUCACCUAAAUCUAGAAUGUUUGAUGAAAUAUCCUUAAGAAAAACACAUUAUUUUCUUUACUUCCUUAGUCAUCUAUCAAUACAUUGAUCGAUUCAAUUACAACUCUUUAAUUAUUAAAGAAGAUCUUAAAGGCUUUAAGCCAAGUUGAGUAUCUAACAAAAAUUCUUUCAACAUGCUUUGAUUCAAACAUCCCUAAUUUUUUAGAAUUGUUUGGAUAAGACAUUGUUCCUAAAAACUAUAUUUUACAUUAAGCUUCCUACUUGUCUAAACAUCAUAGCAAGUCCUUUUGGUUCUAACGUAUAGGUGGACUCAAUUAGAAGUACAAGAUGUUGUGUUUAUGGGUUAACCUGACAAGUUGUUAGAGCCUUUGGAUUAAUCCAUUCUAAACCUAGGAUCGUUGGGGUGUUUGCAAAAACUAUCUUAAGGAUCUUUAGAUCUACCCAACAAAAGCAUAUACAUGAAAAAAAUACACCUGCAAACUUUAUGUUUCCAAAAUGAUUUCAGUCUAUGAAGAAGCUAGUGCAAAUCUCAAAAACCAAGAGAUCUUUUGCUCAAUGGCUCUCUUUCCUGGAUCUAGGCACUUGUAGAUGGUGAAAUCCUCAUAGAAGGGUGGAUGCUAAGGUUCCUCUCUCUAGAUUCUAAAGAAAUGGAAGAAGAAUAAAAAAGUCCUAACCCUUAAAUGGGUUUAUAUAGGAUUCCCUAUGGGCUUAAGUGACUUGAGUCUAUCUUAGGCUUAGGGGUCGCUAAAAAAAGCCCACUUGGAUCUUAGUUAAAUAAUUAGCCCUAUUAAGGUCCAAUUAAUUAAUUAUCCUUUUCCAAAAACAUCAUUCAUAAGAUCUAAAACAACUUUGCAUUUUUACCAAAACACCCUUAUGCACAUGUAUGAAUAAAUAACCUAUACAUCCCUUAAGUAAUGUGUCACAUAGAAGUAUGAACUCAAGUAGGGACCAUUAGGAGUGGUAGGAAAAUAGUGGCUCCUGUAUAAUUUAAUUCUAAAGUUGACUUAACAUCCUUCUACAAAAAAUCAAUUGCACUCUAAUAUCCUAUGAUAUUACAUUAAUAUAAAAUACAUGGGUUUGUGACCUACUAACGACUAAAAGCUAGCUCCUCAUGAAUUGGCGUCCAUAAUAUAACAAGGUGAACACUUUCAAUCUUUUAAGAUUAACUUUACAAUCCUUAUGUUAUAGAUCAUCCCAUUAAGUGAUAAAUUGACAUACUAUAACCCACAACGAACAUAUGGUAACUUCUACUAAACGAAUUACUGCAACCAUAGAUUUUGUCAUGACUACCUCAAUAGCUAAUGUCAUAAUUCAUUGUAAAUUUUGUCUAAUGUGCAAUAAUAUAUACUAAUGCACUCACCUUAGAAACCUCAUCCGAAUGACUAAGAUAAGUCAACUCGCUAAUUAGAAGGUAGUGCACUAUAAUCUCAAAUGGAUUGCCUAAAUUCAUCAACCAACUAUGAACAAAUCAUAAAUCUUGCAAGGAACCCAUGACUUGAAUCUUUCACAUAACUGCUAAUGUACUUAAGUUAUGUAUAAUACCACUACUGCAUGCAUGAAUACUCAAAUCAAUAUCAAUGUGAACAUGGAUAAAUUAGUGGAAACUCAAGCCUAACGGUGUUACAUCAUCUCUUGCUUGCAAGGGCUUUACCUUAACACCAAUAAUCAGGUAGGUUCUUGAAAUCCAAUAUAAUAUGUGCUAUUUCUUGGAGCACUUUAUUUUUCCUUUCAAUAACUUCAUUUUCUAUGGAGUUUUAGAUGUUGAAAGCUCUUCUUUAAUUUCCUUCUCACAAAAACUCUAGAAGUUAGAAUUACAAACUCAUUUCCUCUAUUAUUUCUUAUUUUUCUUACUUAAAAUUCAUUUUUAUUCAUCAUUUGAAAGCAUAACACUUUGAAUUUUAGGAUGUACUUCUUUCUUUCUAAGCAUUGCACUCUCAUAGGACCUAUGAUGAAAAUAUCGUUAAUCAUGGAUAUAUCGAUACUUCGAUUUUACGGAUAUAUCGGAGAUAUAUCGACGGAUAUUUUGGAAAAAAAUAUCGAUAAGUCUAAAACUGAUCAGAAUUUGUAAAAAUAUAAGAAAAACUUCAUAAAAAUGUAAUGAGAAGUAUAAUGAUAUUUUUAAACUGUUUUAUUAAAUAAUUUGAUAUAUGUAUAAUAUGAUUUAUCAUAUUUGAUAAUAAUAUCGUAUGCAUCGACAAAAAUAUGAAUUUUAUAAGUGUACAUUUAUUAUUAAAUUACAUUUAAUAUUAUGAUAUUUGAUUAUAAUAUGUAUAAUUUUAAAAUAUAUAUUAAUAUUAAAAUUAUGAUACAUUUAAUUCAAUUGUAUUAAACAAUAUAAAAUAAAUUAUAAUAUAUGUACAAUUUUUUAAUAUUUAAUUAAUUAUUAAUGAUAUUAAAAGCACUAUGAAGAAAAUUUUAUAAUUUUAAUAUUUUUGGUAAUCAAUUAAAAGAAAAUUUUGCAUUUAAUUAUAAAAUAAUUAUAAUUAAUUUGCUCUUUAAAAUAUUUUUUUUAAUAUUUUCCUUAUAUAAUAAGUUUAACUAUAUAUAUGUUUAGUACAUAUCAUAUAAUAAGGGUAAGUUAGCUUGGAUGGCAAGUGGGUUGAACCUCAAACCUUUUGGUUUGGGGUUCGAAUCCCCUCAACUUCAAAAUGAAGGGUUAUCGCUGAUUUUUUUGGAUUUCUCUCGAAAUUUCGUCAGAUCGAUAUUUCUCCAUGAAAUAUCGUAUCGAUACCCUCCGAUACAUGAUACAUUGGCGAUAUAUUGCCAACAUAUCGCAAUAUUUUCUUCCUUGCAUAGGACCCAUUAAAUCCAUAUGUAACAUCUCUAAGAGCCUAGAAAAAGAGAACAUCAUUUUUCUAUCACUCAUGUGAAUUCAUUGUCCUAGGUAGGACAAAUAGGAUUUUUAGGCUUUCCUAAAUGGGAAUUGCUUUAAUUAGUUCUUUAUUUGUAAUCCUAGACAAAUCAUUAGAGUUUAAAUGCGCUAUCAUACAAUGCUACAUGUCUUUGGAUGUAGAUUUCACAUUUUACAACUAUGUGCACUAUAGAUGAUGAGGAAAAAGUAGAGAGGUGUACAAAAGCAUAACAAAAAUUAUCAAAAAUUCUAUUUCUUACCAACACACAUCCUUGAAUAGACACUGAUUUUGAGUAAAAUGAACAAAGCACAUACAAUCACAAAUUUAACUUGCGUUAAUUAAGUUUGCUUUCAAUCACUCAAUAUAUAGUAACUCCUCGAGUAUAGGUAAAUUUGGACCUUCUAUGGUACAUUUCGCUUUCAAGUUGGUUAUACAUAAUGCAACCAUCCCCAAAUACAACCAAGCUUCCCUUUAUAGGUUCAAACAUGGAGAAAGACUUUAAGUUCAUUGUUGCUUUUACCAUUCCCAAAUACAACCAAACUCCUAUGAGUUCAAAAUUCAAGAAAGAUCUAAGUUCUCUCUCAUACAACUAGAGUAGCCACUCUCAAAAUCCAAAACGUGUUUUUCUCUAGCUCUUAGGCCCUAUGAUCAACUAAGGCUUUUAGGUUCUCCGUAACCCAGAUUUUCUUUCCAAUGGGCGAUUUAAAACCUAUUCAAGAAUUGUUUUUAAAAUUAAUUUUUCAGUUCUUAAAAAUAGAAACCUAUUUUCUAGACUAAAACCAUGUUUGGCAACUUUUUGACAUAUUAUAGUUUGUUGAGAAUUUGUUCUGAAAAUAAGGUUUCUCCUAAUAACAUAUUUUAAUUGCUUUCAAUUGUUUUCAUUUAUUUUAUAGGGUUGUUUUAAGAAAAUAAUAAUAAAAAUAUAAAGAAUGAUGAAACAUAAACUAAAAACAAAAGUUAUUUUUAAGAAAUAUUUGAAAAUACAAAAAAUAUAUUAAAAAUGUUCUAAGUUUUUAAAUAGGCUUUUAUUUUAGAAGACAUUAGACCAACUAUUUUUGAAAACUUUUUUCAAUAACGGUUUUUUGAAGAAUUAUUUUCAAAAAAAUUCCUAAACAAACCCCUAACCUCUGAGGAUCUAAAACUUUGCACUAAGUUUGGCUUACAUUCAACUUCUUUUAUGGACAAAGCAAUGGAGCUAGAACAGAUUUCUUUCAAUUUAGUCAAUUCUUAUUUACGUGGCUCAUAAUCAGAUUGUAAGACAUUCAAUUUUUUUAACAAGGCACCAUGCUCAUUUUCAAGGUAAGAGAUUUUUUUCAAGCAAGGAAAUCUUCUCUCAUACUUCUUUUAUUCUCAUCCAACUUUCACAAUUUUCAUCUUAAGGCACUGAUCAUACAAGGCUUCCUAGGCAAUCUCAAAUUACAACUUUUCUUCCAAAUAUGUUGUAUCAUGAGAUGAACCUUCAAAAUUUUCAGAUUCAAGAUCAGUUUCAAAUUUAACAUUUUUCUUUUCAUUGCGAAGUGAUAUAGAAGGUUACAAGUAUAUCAACAAUUUCGUCAAGCAUAUCGUGCUCUAAAAGACACAAAUAUCAUCAACAUCAUGUGAUAAUAAUCAUAAUUAUGUUUAUGCAUGUUUCUAGCAAAUUAAUGCAAUGAAAUUUGUACACUCUUCAUCAAAAUCAUACCAAAUUACUUCUAUGACCUUAUCCUUCUGACAUUCAAGUAAGUGACCUUUCUCCACACAGUAGAAACCUUGAAUCAACUAGAUCUUUUUUGUGUUUUUUUUUUCUUUUUAUCACAUUUCUUUUCCCCUGUUUAUGGUCUCAAAUAGGUUAUCCUCUGUUUCUUGAAGCUUUUUGAACUUUUUGAAACUUUAUCAAGCCUAUAAAUUUCAAAUAUUGGUCAUUUUUUAUUCCUAUUCUGAUUUAAAUGCAUGUUCAUCUACUUUUAGUGCAAUAUUAAUGUUUCUUCCUCUUAGGAACAAUUGGGGUCAUCUCUAAUUGAAGGGAGCCAACUAUCUCAUCUAGCUUAAUUGAAUCAGCAGUGUUCCAUUCCUCUAUUGUUAUGACCUUAGGUCUAAAACGAACAGAGAAGAUCUUAACAGUUUUCAGGUAACCUUGGAAUCAAGUAAAGGCCUACAUAGAUUGAAAGUUAGCAUUCACAAUGUCCAUGAUUUCAAUAAUAUAUUCAAAAAAUAUUUUUGUUGUGAUCAUUUGAAAUUCAUUCCUUCACCUAUCCUACCUUUACAUAGUUUUACCUACCCUAGUGGAUAUAUAUCCUAUCUCUAUUUAGCACCAUAUGAGGAUAUCAACCAAAUUGAACAGAACUCCAAUCUCUGUUAGACUUCAUUUUAAGGAAGUAUAUCAGUUUUACCUUGGAAUGAGCAUAAUUAUCUCCUUUGAAGUAUGGAGGUCCACCUAUAGAGGUUCCUUCUCGGAGAAUUUCCAUCUUAAGAGAAUAUAGUUUAUCCGUAUUGAGAACAUGAGCAAACAUGUUUUGAUACAAUUUAUGAGUUUUUAAGAGAGUAUGCUAUGAACUUGAGAUCUCUUUUAGAUGAUCAAAUAACAUAUGCACAUGAAUGUCAUUGAGUGAUUAGCACAAGGUCACAAACCUCCCUAAUGAAAUCUCAACCAAAAAGCACACAAAUAUUGCACAAGAUAUAACAUAAAAAAAAUCUCUAAGUGGAGAAAGGAAAAAAAAAAAAAAACCAAUGGGUGCCUUUGUUGUUGCAAAUCCACUAUGAAUAUAAAUCCAGUUUUGCCUACAAUUCCCUCCACCAGUGAAAACAAAUGGUCUUAUAUGAUCAACUCCAUUUACUAUAGGGUUAUAAAGGAAACACUUGUGGGCUGGCAGGCAGUAGCUCCUCCCAACUCAUCAUAUUUCCAACCCCAUUUGCUCCAUCAAAUUCAUAAGAAGCUAACAAAACAACUAGCAUUUUAUAUCAUACAAUAUCUAUGCUAGUUAAUUUGCAUGGAAAAGACAAUUUCUACCCUAAAUAUGCCAACAUACAGGAAGACAUACAAUUUAUACAAACAUUGUACGCUAACACAAGAAAAUCAUACCUCACUUGCUGAUUUGAGGCAAUUCACCAGAGAAUGCAUAGGUGGCAAUGAGGUCCCAAUUGAGCUGUGCAUAUCUAACAGUCGCAGACUUGAAGGAAGCUCUGGAAUUUGUGAAACCUUCUUGCAGUGACUCAAGUCAAGGGCUCUAAGGUUAGAGAGCUGACUAAUACCCACAAGCAUGUCACUGAGGGUUCCUCCUUCCUCUGGAUUGCACCGACUUAGAUGUAAUACUUCCAGAGAGGAUAGAUGGAAAAUACAAUGGAAGACUCCUCCAUUUAGAUUGCAGUUUCUUAGACUUAAUUCUUUCAAUGCGUUCAAGCAGUUAUCACUCUUUAUUACUCCUGGUGUUAGAUUGCAUUGAUCUAAAUAUAGUUUCCUUAAGAGAGAUAAACCUGACAAAGAAGGCAAUUGACAACUGAGCGAAUUUAAAGAAAGAACCUCUAGACAUGGCAUUCUCUCCAGGUCCUCCGGCAAUCUGUCAAGUUUUGAACAGCCUUCAAGACUUAGAACUUCAAGAAAUCUCAAAUUACAAAUGCUGUUCGGGAGACCUUCAAGGUUUUUACAAUUAUCCAAAUACAAGUUGCGAAGACCUUCUAGAAGUUCAAUCGAUGAUGGUAGCUCUUUUAUAGCUGUAUUAUCUAAACUAAGCCUCUCUAGUUUUCCAAUACUGCGCUUGAUUUUUGGAAAACUAGUUAGUUGUGAACAGCCACUGCAAUGAAGUAUGAAAAGGUGUUUCAACUUAUGAAUGUCCCCAGGAAGAUUCUCAAGUCUUACACACCCUAUAAAAUUCGAGGAAAAAAAAAAGUUAGUUUAAUAACAACACUCUUAUAUGUGUGUGAACCUUAAGUAAAAUUAUACAACCUGAAAGAUUAAGUUCCUCCAAAUUUGGCACGUUUGAGAAAUUUGGUAGUUCAAUAAGCUGUUGUGAAUCAUUGAGAUUGAUGUACCUUAAAUUUCUAAGACACUGGAACAAAAUAGAAUUUCUAUUAAUAAAUCAAUUUUAACCAACUUUAAAAUAUUAUAAAACAAAAGCAUAAAUAAAUGAUUAUCAUACCAUGUUUCCUUUCCAAAGUCGUUUUAUGUUACUAUUGCUCAAACCGAGGAAAACAAGAUCAUUUGGAUGAAAGUUUGGUGGUAGAGAUUCUAAAGAAUAUCCAUCCCAACCGAGACAUGUCAAGUCAUCAGACGGAAAUACAAAAUCUUCAGGAAGUUGUUCUAUGCAAUUGUGGGAGAGGAUAAGCAAUCUAAGUCUAUUCAUCCUUUUGAAAGCUUUGCAUGUAAACUGUAUCUGUUCUGAUGUGUCCAUAUGAAAGAAUAUCCCUUCAAUUUUUUCAGUCCCCUAGAUAAUAAGAGUAUAAAAUUAGAAAAGCACGAUACAUGUAAAUCCUUACUAAGGUGAUAUAGAUGAAUAUAUAUAUAUAUAUAUCUUACCGUGUUUCUUUUCAAUACUCGAUAAAUAUCUGUAUGUCUCCAUAAUCUGCUCCUCUCUCCUGGCUCAUUAGGACAUUCUUCAUCAACAAUGCCCUUGCCCAUUUGGGCUAACAAAUCAUGCAUAUCUAUUGUAUUGUCCUCUAAAAUGGUUAUGAAACAUCUAUCAACGAGAACAUUUAUUCCACUUUCCGCUUCGCAUCCGGAACCAUCCAAUAUUCUUGAAACUGCUUCCACAUCACCUCCUUGAAAGAAACAUGCAAUGUCGAGAAAUAUCAUCUUUUGUGUAUAAUCCAAUCCAUCAAAACUUAUUUUAAGCACUUUUACAAUUUCCAUGUUAGGCACCUUUCCCAACUUCCGCAAUUCGCUUUUCCAAUCUGAUAGUCUCUUUCCAAAUAAUAGAGAACCCAAAACUUUAAGUGCUAAUGGAAGACCAUCAGCAUAUCGUACUACUUGAUGAGAGAGAUCUCCAUAACCUUCCUUCAGAUGAUGUUGUUUAAAGGCAUAAAGACAAAAAAGUUGAAGAGCUUCGUGAAAAUUUAAUUUCUCAACUUCAUACAUUUUCAUUUCAUGCCUAGUUAGCAAAUCUUUUUUCCUUGUAGUAAUGAUGAUUCUACUUCCUGGACCAAACCAAUUAUGCUUUCCAAUCAAGUGUUCUAAUUGUGUCAGCUCAUCUACAUCAUCCAGAAAAACAAGAACCCUUUUCGAGGAAAGCUUGUCCCUUAUUUCUUUGAUACCCUCAUGAACAUUCCUUAAAACUAUUUUCCUCGUUGUCCCUAGAAUAUCAUUAAGAAGUUGUUGUUGUAACUUAAGAAGACCACCAGAAUUUUCUGUGGAUUCUUUUCUGACAUCUGUGAGUAAGCUUACACUUUCGAAUUGAUUUGAGAUUCGGUUAUAAAGAGCAUUGAUGAUGGUGGUCUUGCCGAUACCACCAAGCCCAUAAACCCCGACCAUGCGAACAUCAUUCAACCCAAUCUCCAACAAUGAUAUUAGUCUUUCCAAACGAUAAUCCAUUCCGACAAUGUUCUCGGUAACAGCUAAAGUCUUAGGGAAGCUUCUAGGGACGUUCUCAAUAAUUUUAUCAAUAAGCUCUGUUUCAUACCUGCGAAUUGCAAAGCAUAAUGGGACAUGUGUACUGGCGCAUUAGGAUGAGUUGCAAAAAAUAAUAAAUUAUAUGAAAUAAAUUUAAUGAUGCCUAGUUUUCCAACUAUAACUUAGCAGGGCUAAAAGGAAUUUAAAUUAAAAUAAAAUAAACCACAUCUAUCAAACUACUCAUGAGUACAGUUUCAUUAUUCAAUAUAUAUGAUAGAAAUAAGAGAAGAAAAUGCAAAAUAUGAAUUGCAUUAUCAAAAGUGGAAAAAAAAACACUAAAAUAUUUUGUGUGUUAGCUUAUACUAUUCAAUCUUUUGAAAGGUUCAAAAUAAAGUUGAGUUGUCUAGAACAUUACUACCCUAUUUUGAUAAGGGAUUCCAUCAUAGGAUCAACUGCGCAUCCAAGCUUUUUAAUCUAAUAAUUUUACUACUGAUUAGAUGGUCAAGUUUAAAAUUUUAAUGAACAGAUCUUUAUUUUAUAAAUAAUAAAAAUAAAUAAAAAAUUAUAAAAGUUUAAAACUCACUUUAGCUUUAAGCGGUUAGUCAAAUAUCUCAUACUAAACAAGUUAGAUAUUUUUUAUAUCAGCAGAAAGAAAAAAGGACAGUGCUUCAAAUGACAAAUGAAGAGAAAUUACAAUUACCUGUCCUUCGCAUCAUAUCCGGCUAGAUUGCUUGCUUGCCUCAGGGCAAUCUUCCAUUUCCUUAUCUUUUCCUUUCUCUCCUCAUCUGCAUUCUUCUCAUGAUGGGUAAAUGCUUCUCCGUAAAUCUCAGUUUGGUUCCGCAGUUCAGACGGAUCUACAUGAUAGAAAAUUGGGAUAACUACCAUUUGUUCCCUUUCCUCUUUGCAUUUCAUGAUCUUGACAAGCUCUUCCAGACACCAUUUGGAAUGAGCAUAGGUUUUUGAGAAGACAAUAAUGGCACUCCUUGAUUCUUCAAUAGCUUUUAAGAGCUCUGGUGCAAUCUCUUCUCCCCUUGGAAGCUCUUCAUCAUCUCUGAAGGUAUGAAUAUUGUUACGAAUCAAAGCCGAGUAGAGGUGAUCGGUAAAGCUUUUGCGAGUAUCUUCACCUCUGAAACUCAAAAACACAUCGUAGCUCCACUGAGAGCGAGAAGUGAAAGAAGAAGAGGAUCUCUGGAUGCUAGGGGAGGCCAUGGUUGAACAGAAAUUGGAGGAAAAAUAAGGGCCUUCGGGUAUUCAGUGACUUAAUUCCCCUAGCCUUAAUGUGAAGUUUGGAUGUUGGUGGUGGGAUGUGCUUUUUCUUUCUCAAUUAUUUCUCCUUAGCUGUAUCCCUCUAGCUUUGAACUUUCACUUUUGUCCCUUUUGGCAGUCAACAAUGGCCGGCACUCUUCUCUCUGCAAUUUCCAAUUAAUUUCUAAAAUGUAAAAAAUAAAAAAUGAUCAAAUCCAUGUGGUCUUUACUUAGGUCAUAAGAUCGUGUGAACACACAUUAAAUUAAAGUUAUUCAAUUAAGUUUUGUCUUUUCCAUAAUUAGCAAUAUUACGGUAGAAAAUAAAGGUUUAUUAAGUUGAUAUGUCAAGUAAAGCUAACAACUUUGGUAUUAUAAGCUUGAUUUUUGUAGAUGGAAAAAUAUAAUGAGUCAUAUGACAAAAAAUAAAGAAAAUUUUGAUCUUGAAGAAUAGAAAGAAGCACAAAACCUUCAUGAAAGUUUAGGGAAGAAAGACCAUGCUCAAAACUCCAAAUUUAAAUUCUCACGGACUUUUCACAUUUUGCAGCUGGCUUUAUUAUUAAUAGAAGCACAUAAAUAAAUAUUGUAAUUAAAUCCCACUAAUUUAUAGGUCAUAAUGGUAUAUAUCGGUCAUCACAGUAAUUGAGUGGGAAGGUGGGUACCUGUAAAAAGAAUAGACCAAACCAAUCACCCUAAAGUACCUUUAUCAUAAAAGUCAUUGAGGUCCUAAUGGUAAUAAUGGUGGAUAUCUUUGGAAAGAGAAAACAAUCCUAAAUUUCAAAAGAACGUCUGUUUCUUGGCAAUUGUAUCCCCGACAGCCUUAUCUUUUUUUACUUUAUAUCUUUUUAUUAUUAUUAUCGUGAGGAUGGUUAAAGAUGAUAUUAGAUAUGUAAUCUUUCUAUGGUUUAAAAAUGAAAAAUGUGAGUGUUAAGUUGGCAUUUUUACCAUUUAGAAAAUACUUGAUUUUAAGAUCAUUAAUAGGAAGAAAUAAAGAGUUCCAAAAAAUAAAGAAGCUUUUAUUGACUAAUCUAGGCAACCCCUUUCUUGGCUUUUAAUUGUAUCUACUUUGUCGAAAAUCUCAGUCAUUCCUCCUUGUCUUCCUUUUGUUAUUCCUAAGUUCCAACUCUUUUUUUUUUUUUUUAAAUAAUAAUAUUAGUUUUAUGUUUUAAUGAAAUGGGUUGCAAAUUUGAAGAAAACAUAUUCUUGUGUAUUUAUUGACUAUGACCCUUUCUUCACAAAGGUUAACGUUAUUUACAUUCUCAAACUAAUCUUUGAUGAGUUUGAGUUUUUCUUUACUAACAAAACUUCUACCAUAUCUUUCUUGUAGGAACAAAGUCAAAUGACCAUAUUUUGAGACUUAUAUGAAUGGUCUCAACCAUCCAAUCCAAAUACCUACUCAACCCACAACUUCACUCCCACCAAACAACCUUUCGACUAUUAACAUUAUACUAAGAUUUCUUACCUUUGCUAUUCAAAUUAUCGUAAUAAUGUACAUCUUCUAUUUUAUAUUUUUAAUACAUUCCAUUUAAAUUUAACUUCUUACAUCCUUUAACACCUUAUUGUGCAUUUGUGGUUAUUUUUCUAAGCUGUUUUUUAACUUUCAUUGGUGGUUCAUUGUAAUUAUGUUGGUUACUGGGUUUUUUUAUUCUAUUUUAUGCAAGAGACAUUUUGAAAGGAUUAGGUGCCUUCCAAUCUUGAUUUUAGUGAUUUUUAAAUCUUAGUUUAGGACUUUGUUUUUGAUUGAUUUAUAACAUAUUUAGGUUUGUUUAGAAUUUUAAAACUUUAAUUGCAUAAAAUAGAUUCAAGAUUUGAAUUAAUUAAUAAUUGAUUUCAUUCUCCUUUAAAAUGUAGAAUAUGAUAAACGACUUGAUAGCAAAUUCAAACAAAUCUUUAUCCAAAUGAGAAUUUAUGUAAUCUAAUCAUUUUAUUAAAUAUCACCUAGUAAAUUAUAAAAAUAAAGAUAUUAAUCACAUUUGUUAAUAUGUUUUUUUUAAAUUGACAAAUUAUGAUGAAAUUAUAAUCUUUUCAAUAUUUUAUUAAUUAUUAAUUAAAACAUCACUAUAAUUAUUCAAUCCAUGGAAUAUAAAAUGAGUUAUUUUUAGUAAUAAUAAUAAUAAUGAUAAUAAUGAUAAUAGUGAUAAUAAUAAUAAUAAUAACUAAUCAUAUUUGAAUAACAUUUCAUCAAUUAUAUAUCAAAAUAAAGUUGUAUGUUUAUCAUAACCUAUGUUUUAAAACAAAAUAAUAAAAGUUAUAUUUCCCUUUAAAUGUAUUUACAUAUCUACCUCCAUAGUCCAUGGUAUUAAAAUAAUCUAAUAAAACACAGUAUCCCAUAACCGGGCAACAGCACAGCUGCUCCUAGCUUUAGCCCCUAGCAGCUGCAAUCAGCUUUUCCACUCUCUGUUACAGUCCAGCUUUGGCCGCCCAAGACGUACAUCUUUAAAAGUUGAUUUUAUUUUUUUUAAUUGAAUGUUUUUUUUUUUUUGUAACUCUUCUCGAUUAAUAAAUAAUAAUAAUAAUAAUAAUAAUAAUAAUAAUAAUUGGAUUUGGUUUUUAAAGUUGAGUAUUUUCUUUAACUAAUUGAUAUUAUAAAUAUAUAAAUAAUUUCUACAUUCACAUUUUAUAAAAAAUAAAAAUGUUUCAUUUUGAAAAUUUUAUGCAUUAUUUUAAAAUUUUCAAAUAAAGGAUUAUUUGUAAAUAUUUCUAAAUAUGUUUGAUUUCAAUAAUUGAUAAAUUAUAUAAUCAAAAUAUUAUGAAUUGGUAAAUAUCAAUUAUUGGAUUUUAUGAAGAUAAAAUUUAUGAUAUCAAAUAGUAAUGCAUUAUAUUUAUAAAUAGAUGUAUUUUUUCUAUUUUAAAUGUAAUUAACAAUAUAAAAAAUUAAUUAAUAAUGAUAUAUUUAUGAUAAUUUUUGUUUAAAAACAUUUAUAAUUUUAUUUAAAAUUAAAUUUCAUUUUAUAUUUAAUAAUUAUAUAAAAGAUAAAAAAAAUUUAAAAGUAAAUCAAACUAAUUUAUUUAUAAAAAAUUAUUAAUUUUCACUAUUUUACUUAUUUUACAUAUAUAUGUAUUGGGACUGAAAUCUGUUCUCCAUUCUCUCAUUCUUUCCUCCAUUUCUCUUUCGUUCCUAUUCUCUGUUUCCUUUCUCCUUGUCUUCAUUUCUCUUCUAACAUCCAAACUUUUAUUCAUGACGGUUAAACUAUUUCUCUUUUCUAAGAUCAAAACAUAACUCACUGAGGUUAAAAUCCAGAUUGUGAUUGUUAUAAAAAUUCCUAGUUAGGGUUUUAGUUUUAGUUUUAAUUUUUUUGUUCUUUUUUAUUUUUUGCAUUCUUGGUCUUUUGUGUUAUUGUUUAUGUUUUAUUUGGUUUAUGGGAAAUCCUAGAAUUUAUGAAAGUUUUGGCUUUGAAAUAUCCAAAAAAUAUUGAAAUAGAAAUGACCAAAAAAAAAAAAAAAAUUGUUGAAUAAUGUUGAGUUUUUGGUUGAAUUUUUGUUUGACCGAUUUUUUUAUUUUCCAUUUUCUGAUUUGCCCUCGUAGAGUAAAGAAUUUUCCUUCAUAGUGAAGAGAUGAGAACACUCAAGAACAUUGAUUGAAAAUACGAAAAACAUCUUAUUUUUUUUCUUUUUAGAACAUUGGCAAAAACACGGAAAACAACAUUUUUUUGUUUUUUGAAAACCAGACUUUAGAAAACACGAAGAAUACAUGGGAACAAAAAACACUCUCUUAUCAAACACAUUUUGUGUGUUUUUGUUCUCAAAAACAAAAAACUGUUUUUGAAAACAUUCACCAAACAUGCCCUAUUUUUUGAGGUAAUUCUUUUUAUUCUUUUUCUUUGCGGGGGAGGGGGAGGAAAUUUUGGCGAGCUGUUAGAAAAGGGGAUCUUGUGGCAGUUGGAGUUUAGGUUGCCUCAUGUUCUCUCUCCCUCUCUUUUUAUAUUUUAGUUUUUUUGCAAUAACUUGAACUCAUUUCCUUUGAGAAUUUCAUGUUCAUUUUCCCACACUUUGUUUUUGUUCCUAAAUUUAAUCUUGUGUUUAUGUCUAUCAAUUAGUUAUUUAGGUUGAGGAAAGGGGGCCGGGCCUUAGGUCUUCCCUUUUACCCUUGAAAUGAUCCUCUCACUUUGGGUGAUUAUUGAUUUAACUAGCUUAUAAUUUGGCCGUCUUUAUUUUUUAUUGAAAUCAUCAUACCUUGAUGUUUGGAAAUUGAAGAUUCAGGGCCCUUUUGAUGGACUGUCUAGUGGAGUGUGUGGGCAUAGGAAUGAAUUAACGGAGACGUGAAAGCUUUGAUCAGUCCAUGAAAUACAAAUGAAAGGUUAUCACCAAAAAUUAAGCAUGCGUGCAUUGAUAAUAGACAAGUAAAUGAGAGAAAAUGAACUUCAAAUCUUACUUGACAACGAUACUACUAUAAUGGGAUAUUCCUCAACAUAGUGGUUAUUACUUAAUUUGGUAUCAAUAACUAUGCUAAAACCUUGCCCAUUACUGAAAAUGGACAGGGAAUAAGCAAAAAUAUUAUAAUAUGUCUGUAAUUGAUUCCUUUCAUCAUAGUAACCCAUUGGCCAGAUUGGCUUAGUUAACUAAAUGAAAACCCGAUUUCUUAUAUUUCGAAUGAACCAAAAAGGAUACAGUAGUAAACAGCUAUGGAACCAAUAUGUAUGAGGAUAAAAAACAACAACAAUUUUGAUUGAAACUAAUCUUGAAAUAAUCAAUGGCUAAGUACAUCAGGUUGUGUUUAUAAAGUCCUAGUUCAUAAGCACUAAAUUCUAAUGCUAACACUCUCUCCAAGUGCUUUCAGUCUGCUGCUUCAAUACAAGUACUCUAUAUGUGCGCUUGAUAGUAACUUGCGCUUGAUAAUAACUUCUCGUGUCCUAUAUAUUUAUACCCGAUCAAGGGCUGCCAUUUUAUUAGAUUGUUGAGUAAUGACGCUGCUUGUUGAAGGAUUGUGAGACAGAACAAUCUCAUACCCAUCAUCACAUGACUGCAUCCCCUCGGCCAUGAGUUGCCAAACCAAGCCUCCACCAAUUCCUCCACUUCUUGCAAAGUUGUAGAUGUUGGUAUAAACAACAUUCAAAAAUGAAUCCCUUUUAUUUAUAAUUUUAAUUCUAUUGUACGAAGGAAUUAAGAAAAAACUUUUAUUCUAAAAAAAUAUAAAUUUUAACCUAAAAUAAUUUAGUAUAUACUUUAUCAAGUGUAAAAUUUUAAUGAACAGAUUUUUAUUUUAUAAAAAAUAAAAAUAAAUAAAAAAAUUAUAAAAGUUUAAAACUCACUUAGCUUUAAGUGGCUAGUCAAAUAUCUCAUGCUAAACAAAUUAAAUAAUUUUUAUAUGAGCAGAUAGAGAAAAGGACAGUACUUCAAAUGAAAAAUGAAGAGAAGUUACAAUUACUUGUUCUUCGUGUUAAGGAUAAUUAGCCUUUCCAUUACAAUUUACCAUAUGUAUCAUAUUUGACCCUUGAUUACAUGCUAUUCCUUUGUAAUCAGUUUGAUAUUAUUUCCUACUUUCCAUUUCUUUUAUAAUCAGUUUGAUAUUAUUUGAUUUGUAAUAUUCUAUAAAUGAUUAUAAAUAGAAAACUCUCACCACCUUCUCAAGUGUGGUGGUUUGACAAAUAUUCUUACUUUGUAUCAUAUCCGGCUAGAUUGCCUGCUUCCCUCAUGGCAGUCCUCCAUUUCCUUAUCUUUUCCUUUCUCUCCUCAUCUGCAUUUUCCUCAUGAUCGGUAAAUGCUUCUCCACAAAUCCCAGUUUGGUUCCGCACUUCAGACGGAUCCACAUGAUAGAAAAUUGGGAUAACCGUUUGUUUCCUUUCCUCUUUGCAUUGCAUGAUCUUGACAAGCUCUUCCAGACACCAUUUGGAAUGAGCAUAGGUUUUUGAGAAAACAAUAAUUGCAAUCCUUGAUUCUUCAAUAGCUUUUUAAGAGCUCUGGUGCAAUCUCUCCUCCCCUUGGGUGUUCUUCAUCAUCUCUGAAGGUAUUAAUAUUGUUACGAAUCAAAGCCGAGUAGAGGUGAUCAGUAAAGCUUCUGCGAGUAUCUUCACCUCUAAAACUCAAAAACACAUCGUAGCUCCACUGAGAGUGAGAAGUGGAAGAAGAAGAGGGUCUCUGGAUGCUAAGGGAGGCCAUGGUUGAACAGAAAUCGGAGGAAAAAUAAAACAUAUAAAAUUAUCAAGUCCAUGGGGUAUUUAAUUAGGCCAUAAGAGAUCGUGUGAACUCACACAUACAUUAAAUUAAAGUUAUUGAAUUAAUUUUUGUCUUUUCUAUAAUGAGCAAUAAAUAUUCCUGUAGAAAAUAAAGGUUUAUUAAGUUGAUAGGUGAGGGAAAGCUAUAUAACAACUUCGGUAUUAUAAGCUUGAUUUUUUAAAAAUAAAAAAUAUAAUAAGUCAUAUGACACAUAAAAGUUCAUUUUUUUUAAAAUCAAGUCAAACAUUUUUAUCUUAUUAUAAUUUCUUAUUAUUAUAAUAAAUAAAAUAAUUUUUUAAAUAUAUUUUCCUAUUAAGAUAUAUUAUUCCUAACCACAAUCGAAUUUUUAUAAAAGAGCAAUUAGUUUCUUAUAUGAAUGUUUUAUUUAAUCAAGAUAAACAUGGAAAGAAAUUGUUAUCACAUGUCCUAUAUUGAGAAAAAUUAUAUAUAAAUUGGAAAUAAUUUUAAAAAUAAUAAAAUCUAAAAGUUGUUUCACUAUUUUCUAAAAUUAAUUUUAAUUUCUUAUAAUUUUGCUAUUUUUUUGUUGAUUUUUUAAUAAUUAUUUUAAUUAUAUAUCUAUAUAUAUAUAUAUAUAUAUAUAUAUAUAUAUAUAUAUAUCUAUAUAUAUAUAUAUAUAUAUAUAUAUAUAUAUAUAUAUAUAUAUAUAUAUGUGUGUGUAUAUGUAUACAUACAUAUUAAAAAAUGUUACUCAUUUAAGUGGUUUCAAAUGAUUUAUUUAUUUGCAUGAAAAAAACAUGAAUUGAUCAUCUUUUGAGAUGUAGUAAGAGUCGUUUGGUUUAGGUCACAGUGGUAAUGAGUUGGAAGGGUCUAGUACCUUUUGAAAGAACAAAAGGAGCAACAACCCUAAAAUUCAAAAGUGUUGGAAUAUUAAACAAUGUCUUGGUCAAAAAGGGAAAGCGCGUUGGAUCAUAUAUUGAAAAUAAUGUCUUGUUAACAAAAAAUAAUGUCUUGGUAAAAAUAGAAAACAUAUAGGAACAUUGAAUAAGACAAUACCAUAUGGUUAGGAAAGGUUAUUCUCUAAUCUUUUAUCCUUAUUGACUCAUACACUUGUUGAACCUCCUUAACAAUAGAAAGAAAGUUCAUUCUUAUGAAUCCUCAAAAUGAAUCAAAGAGAUAAAUUUCAAUUUUGAAGUAAACAUAAUUAUUUUUCUAUUUUUGUUAAAAAAUUGACAAUACUUAAUUUAUCAUGUAAGAAUCAAAGAAUAAUAGCAACUAUUCAUACAAUCGGUCUCAUUUUGUUGUAACAAAACUUAUGAUUAUUUUUCUUCCAUGUAUAUGAGGUUACUAUAAAUUCAUUUCCCACUUGUCAUGUGAUUCAAAUAGAACCUACUAGAUGAAAUUUCUCUCAACAUAUUUCCGCAUCACAAUUUUUCUUUCAUUUUUUAUUUUAUUUUGAAUUUGCAUUAAAUAAAUUUCAACCAUAGAUACGCACUAACAAUAUUUAAAUAAAGAUGAUAAUGUAUUUAAAAUUUUAAUAAAAACUGAGUUGAAUUUUUCAACUUACGUUUGAUUUCCUUCUGUUCACCUAAUGUUGGCAUUAAAAUACAAAAAAAAAAGUCAUUGUCUUCGGGAUUUUUUCUUGUGAGCUUAUCCUCAAACUUUCUUAAAAAACUAAGUUGAUUAUUGUUGUGCUCACUUAAUGUUUGCAUUAAAAUACUAGAAACUUAUUCUUGUGAGCUUAUCCUUGCACCUUCUUCGAAAAAUAUAAGAUUGAUUCUUAUUGAUAGGAAGAUAAGAACAAAAACUUCUAAUAAAUUAUAUUUUGGUAUAUUGAUAAUUUAAUGGGAAAAAACGUUAAAUUUUAUAAAUGUAAAAAGAUGAUAUAGUUGGAUGACGCAUUUAUACAAACAUAUGAAAAGAACAUUUAUAGUCAAUAAAUGAAAACCAUGUAAAUAUUCAAAAGGCUAAAAUCACAAUUGAUUGGAGCAAAAAAAUUUAGCUCAUCCUAUAUUUAUUUUUUAUCAUCAUAUUCUUAUCGAGCUUCUUAGGCAUCAAAUAUAAAAAUUCUCUAUUUAAAAUCAAAAUAAAAUAAAUAAGAUCUUGUCAACUACAAUUUUAAUUCAACUAUUUUUGUUGCUAACUAGUUCCUUGAUUUUUGGUACUUCGAUUUCUCAAACAACACAAAAUUUCAUUUCAAGGAAGACUCAUUAACAACAUGAAAUUCAAAAUUACAUAUGCAACAACCCAACCCCAAGCUUAAGUAAAUUUGUAAUUUUAUUAAUUAAGAAAAUAAAAACUUUGGGCUAUUUAAAUAUAAUUGGAUUUUAAUUUUGAGUUUGGGUUCAAGUUAAAAAAAAAUUAAUGAGCCAAAUAAAUUAAUUGGGCAUUUAUAUUCAAACAAUUAAUCUUUAGUAUUAAGAUUUAAUUGAAUUGAAAAAAAAAUAGAAAUAAGAUAAUAAAGGGAGUAAAAUAGUCAUUUCUCAUUAGAAACCUAGGUAUGAAUAUUCACUCUUCUUUACAAAAGUCUUUUUGUAUAGAGAGCAAAUGUAGGGUUUGAAAUCAAUCUUUGAAUGUAAGCACGUAUAGAUUUAAUAUUUACUUUCAUUUUUAAUUUUCAUGGGAAUUAUUAAAUAUGAUCAAAUUUUAUGAAAAAAUUAAAUAACAUNNAUUCUAAUUAAUUAUAAAGUCACUACAUUAAAAGUCUNNNNNNNNNNNNNNNNNNNNNNNNNNNNNNNNNNNNNNNNNNNNNNNNNNNNNNNNNNNNNNNNNNNNNNNNNNNNNNNNNNNNNNNNNNNNNNAAUCAAAAAGUAUAAGUUACAAAUUUCAAAGGGUGUUUAUGAGUGGAUCAAUUUUUGGUCUCAAUUAAAAAAGCUAAUUGAAAAUAAUAUAAAUAUAAUAUGUUUUUAUUUUAUUUAUUUAUGGUGAGGAUUAUAAAAUAAAUUGUUAUUUUUUAAUUUUAAAUAAAGUAAACAAAUAAGAUAAAAUAGAAAUUAAAAUCAAAAGAAAAAAAAUUAAAAAUCAAACAAUAUAAAAUAUUGAAAGUGAUUGAAUAAAAAAGAAAAAGUUUACAACUCAAAUAAGAUCAAUCUAGAAAAUACAUUACAUAUUAAAAUAUACGCAUAAAAUGCAUUUCAUACUGUUAGAUGGUAAAAGUCCAAGUAAAAAAUCGUAGGUUGAUGACCUGAAUUGCAUAGGUUGCUUUCAGACCAUUGGGACUUGUUAGGGUUCAAAGUCAAAAAUAGGACUAAUAAUAUUUAGUAAUAUCAUCUCAAGCCUAUUCCAAAAUAUGGCAACAUGGUAAAAUUAAAAAUUAACAUAAUGCUUAAUAAUAAUAAUAAUAAAAAACCUUAUUGGUUUUUUUUUUUAAAAAAAUCACUAGAUAUUGUAUAAUUUUUCUAAAAUGAAUGAGAAAAGUUAUAAUUAUGAAUCUCUUGAAGAAAAACCUUUCAAUUGCAAUCGCACUCCCUUAAAAAAAAAAAAAAAAACUUAAACAUAAAAGGGUUAAAUAUAUAAUAUGAGUAAAUUCGUUAAUCAUCACAUAAAAAACAAUUUUUCCAGACCCCCUCGAUCAACCCCAUGAGCUAACCCAAGCAACUCAAUGUUGACAUCCUAAGCUAAAUGGUAUUAUCUGAUUAAUUAUUUUACAAAAUAUACAUAUGUUAUAUCUUAAAAUUGGUUACUAAAUUAUAUUACAGUUAUCAAAUAUAUUACCAUAUAUAAAAUACAACUUAAUAAAUCUUAAGCAUAAUACAAAGCACAAUAACAAGAUAUGUUAAUUUAAGUUAUUAAGAGCUUAUUUAGUUGUGUGAUUUAAAAAUAGUUUUUUGUUUUUAAAAAACAAAAAUUAUCUUUAAAAUUUUCUAACACUAUUUACCGUUGCUUUUUGGAAACACUUUUUUAAAACAAAGUAAAAUAAAGAACAAUUUUUAAAAAACAAGUUGAAGUUGUUUUUACCAGUUUUUAAAAAACAAAAAAUAUAUAAACUCAUUUCACUAUGUUUUUUGAAACUUGUUUUUAAAUUAAAGAAUAAAAAAUAAUUUUUCAAAAUAAGUUUCAAAAUAUCAUCUAUACACAUUCUUUUUGAAUGAUUAAGAAUCGAGAUUUCUAACCAGUCGGUUAUUAUUAUUUUUUUUUUAUAAAAAAUUGAAAUUUACUUUAUCAUUUAUUGUAUGAAUAUCAUAUGGAUUUAAAAAGAAUUUCACACUUAGACAUGUACCUCUCAGAACAUUUGAAGUGAAGAUGUUCUUGUCUUCUUCAAUUUGAAGGCUCAUUAUGACUUUGAGAUUCACAUUCCUUUAAUUGACAUGAAAUGUUUGACUUGCCUUGACUAAUAAGGACCUUCAUGGCUUACCUGAUAGAGGUUGGGCCUUUACCGUUAUCCACUCAGCAAUGAUGUAUUUUCUGCACUGAGUUAUUUAAUAAAAAUGGUUUUUGAGUAAAACAGAUUUGGAUUUUGACCUAUGGAGGCCUAUGGACUUUCAAAACAGGGGUUCACUAGGGAAAAAAAAAACAGAGAAGAAAAAGAAGAAAAAUGAGAUCAUUGGAAGAAUUUUCAGCCCCUUUCAAUCACUUAGCCAUAUAAUAGAAACUAAGAAGAAGAGAAAGGAUCGUAGCUCACAAAAAGCUUGAGAUAAAUGUUUAGCAUCUUCUGCAGCAUAUCCAUCCAACAAAUUUGCAAAGAAGCUCCAACCAGUCGUGCAUAUGAUCCUCUUCAUCAUCUUGGGCAUCAACAACAUUACUGUUAAUAAUCUGUGUCGUUGUAUCCAUGGGAGAAUCGCUAUGCUCAGUGCACUGUGUCCAGUCAUAGCUUGUUUGUGCAUUAGAAUUAGUAUCUUCUGCUGCUGAUCUGGUAUCACAACUUCUCUGCUCAUCACUAUACUCCAUCAUUGUCUGAUGGUCGCGCUUGGUGGCUUCUGUGUUGUCACAGCUUCUCUGACAAUCAGUACUGGUAUCUUCUGGGAUGUUGCUGUUGAUAACAUCACGUGUAUAUAUAAGAUAGUACCCACACUCUUUCACUUCGACUGGUGCAUCCAAGCUAUGAAAUGAAGCCUUCAAACGUCUCCAUUCGUUUGACCAAUACUGCUUGUCAAUAGCAACCUUGGGAUAAUAAGUCACACACAUUUGACUUGAUUCAUCGCAAAUUGGGCAGCAAUAAAACUGGACAUCAUCCACGUGACAGCAUUCAGAUUGAUCACCACAGAUACUGAGUUCGCAAUUCAACUCAUCACAAGCCAUAGAAAUAAAAAUAGAGUAUAAAGCAAAUCCUAAGAAGUCAUCUUUUCUGUACCAAUCCAUAGGAAGCUCUAUUGUUAUUUGAGAUCCUUUUUUUGGCUGGCUUAUCCACUCUGGAAUUCCAUUAUUUCCCAAAAUAACAACUCUGAUUGCCUUGUUCCAAUAGGAGUCGCAUUCAAAUUCCUGCACAGAAGUACAGUGUUAAUACUCUGUUCAUAAGGAAAAAGGGCUGAAUGUUAUGAAAAUCAUACCUCAAUCAUUGAUUUGAAGCAUUUGAACAGAGAAAAACCAAGUUCACUUGAUGGACUUGAUGAAGUUUCCAAGCAUGUGCAACUGUGGACAUCUAAAUAUCGUAAACUUGGCCGAAGCUCUGGAACUUGUCGACGCCCCUGGCAGUGACUCAAUUGAAGGACUCUCAGUUUAGACAGUUGAAUGAUGCCUGCAAGUAUGCUACUAAAACAGUCCAUGCUUAGAUUUAGACCUGAAGCACGCAAAUCCUCUAAACAUUGCAAACUCCUCAGGUUCUCAGGAAAUUUCUCAAGUUUUGUACAGAAACUGACAUCUAGAGUUUUGAGAGAACUCAAAUUACAAAUGCUUUCUGGAAGACUCACAAGGUUGGUGCAAUCUGAAAGAUUCAAAUAUUGAAGCCCUCUUAAAUAUUGAAUUGAUGCUGGUAGUUCUUCUAUAGCAGUUCCAUCUAAAUGAAGCACUCUUAAAUUUUCCACAUCCUCAACGAUUUCCGGAAAGCUCCUUAAUCGUGAACAGCCUGAGCAGAAGAGAGUUGUAAGGGAUUUCAACUCACAUAUGCUACUGGGAAGAUGCUCAAGGUUUUUGCAUUCCCGCAAACAUAAGCUAUCAAGUUCUAAGGGACACUCAAUAGUGGGUAGUUCAUUGAUGGCAUUUCCCUUUAAACAAAGCUUUCGUCGGGAUUGCACAUCCCCUUGACAUUCCCGGCAAACGGUGGAUAUCAUUGCUUUACCAUGGUUCUGUUCAUGAUCAUGGGCAUAUAUAAGAUGGAUCCCACACUCUUCUACUUUCACUGCUUUACCUCUCAAGUAGCCACAAAAUGAAGCCGUCAACUCCCUGCAUUUAUUUGAGUGGUACUUCUUCUCAAUCAAAAGCUUAGGAUAAUAAAUCAUCCACAUUUGUGGUACAACAUAGCAUUGAAAUGAGGGAAAAAACUGGAGUUCAUCCACAAACUGAAUUUCACGACCACGCAAAGUCAAACCAUACUCGAAGUAAGUUGCAUCAUUAUCCAGUGUCUCCUCAGAUUCAUUAUCAAGUGGAUAAUAGACACAGUACAAAACAAAACCCAACAAGUCGUCAUUUUUAUACCAAUUUUGAGGAAGCUUUGCUACUACUUCAGCUCCCUUUUUGUGAUGGCUUAUCCAAUUUGGAAUUCCACUACCGUCUGAAAUAAGAUUUACUUGGGCAAAAGAUUUUUCUGUAGGAUAAAUCUCGCAUUCCAAAUCCUGCAGAAAAUUUAAUUAACACGUAAAUCCCCAUGUCUCCACAAAAAAAGUUGUGUUCUAUGAAUAUCAUACCUGAAUCAAUGAUUUGAAGCAGUUGAAUAGAGAAGACCAGAGUAGACCUGAAGAAGUUUCCAGCCGUUUGCACCCAUGUACAUCUAAGACACGCAAACUGGAUGGAAGCGCUGGAAUUUGUCGAAGCUCUUCACAGUAACCCAAAUCAAGGAGUCUCAGCCUAGAAAGUUGAUUGAUCCCAGCAGGUAUGCUCCUAAAAGGAUUCCCGAUUAGAAGUAAUUCUUGCAGAGAUGAUAGCUGGCAAAAUUCAGUGGGGAUUCCUCCUUCAUCUAUACAGCAGACAGAUAGAUCUAACACUUGCAAGGAGUACAAGCCGCAAAUAUCACUCAGGACUACUCCUUGCAUUAGCCCUGAGCAAGUUAGAUUUAACACCUUUAAGGAGCAUAAACCUGACAAAGAAAGCAAUUGGCAACAUCUUGAAUUUAAGCCCCUAGCACAGAGACGCUUCAAGCUUUGCAGCCUCCCCAGGUUUUGUGGCAAUUUGUGGAGUUCGAAACAGAAAUUGACAUUGAGAUCUUCAAGAAAGCGUAAAUUACAAAUGCUUUCUGGAAGAGUCACAAGGUUUUUGCAACUUUCCAGAUUCAAAACCUGAAGCCUAUUCAAAUGUUCGAUUGAAGAUGGUAGCUCUUUUAUAGCCGUUCCGUUCAAGUGAAGCUGCCAUAAGUUUUCCAUAUUCUCCAAGAUUUCUGGGAAGUACUGUAAUUGUGAACAGUCAGAGCAAAAGAGAGAUUUUAGGGAUUUGAACUCCCAAAUGCUUGUUGGUAGACUCUCAAGGUUUUUGCACUCUCGCAAACACAAGGUAUCAAAUUCAGAGGCACACUCAAUGGGUAGUAGGUUGAUUGUCUGACCCUUUAAACAAAGCUUUCGGUGUUCCACGUUCCUCUGACAUUCCAAGCAGCUAGCAUCCACAUCCUCAGUCUUUACUGUUGGAUCUUGAGCGUAUAAAGGUUGUAACCCACACUUGAGCACCUUAAAAUGAUUACGAGAGUCCUUAAAUAAAGCCAAAAGAAACAUGGAUGUAUUGGUGAGACUGCUCUCCAGAAUAGCAGCCUUGGGAUAGAAUAUCACCCACAUUUGUUCUGAUACACCUCCAUCAUGGUAGCAUUUACAAGUAGUGCGAAAACUGAAAUGUCGCACACACAGGGAAGAAAAUCCAUAGCCAUCACCCAAUGACAAUUGACAUUCUAACUCAGUGGAGAUUGAAGAUUCAGCUUCAGGUAAAUCGUCAGAUUCAUUCAGGGCUUCGUCACCAGAUUCAUUCUCUGAUGUUUGUGCAAAAUCAUUUUCAGGUAUGUACUCACAUUCUUUGAGUGGAACAUAAACAAAGCAUAUAGCAAUUCCCAAGAAGUCAUUAUUUUCAUAACAAUUCUGAGGAAGGCCCAUUGUGAUCUGACAUCCCUCUCUCUGAUUCCUUAUCCACUUGGGAAUUCCACAGCUUCCCGGAACAACAAUACAGAUUCCAUGGCCAAUGAAGUCAGAAUCAGGGAGAAAUACUUUGCUUGAACUGCUCUUGUAUUUCAAAUCCUGUACAAAAGGACAAUGUAAAUCCAGUGGGUCUGUGCCAUUAUGUGAGUUUUUAUGAGAGAGUUUGUUAUCGGUUUUUGCUAAAUUGAUUCCCAGUUUUAGCUUUAUUUGAUCUAUGCUCCUGAAUCUACUUAAUAUCCCUUUUAGAUGACUGAUAGUCAAUCAACAUGAAAGUGAGCGACAAGAUUAAGUGUGAAAACUGAAGUGAGGGGAAACUGAAACUGAAAGUGAGUAGAAUAAGCAGAUCUCUUCUUCACUUGCAGUAGCUUCUUCUCCAUACAGAUUCAGAGAUCUUAUAAUCGUAGCUUCAACUUAACUCUCAGAAUCUUAAAGACAAAGUUCGCUCAAGUUUCAAAAAUUCACAGAAAAAUUUCUCCUCAGGUUUCUCUUAGUCCUAUGAGGCGAGAGACAUGUAGCACACACUUAUUGGCUUUUUUCCAUGCAAGUUUCAAGGUGGAGCGUCUAAUGAACUAGAACAUUCCCUCAAAUCCUAGUGGAAAUUCACACUAGAAAUUGCAGAAUUUGGUAAGGAAAACUUUAAUUCAUUUUAUCCAUGAAUAAAAAAGAUUUAACAUUAGAGAGAAUAACUCACGUAUAUUAAAGCAUUUUGGUGCUAAGUUCUUUUUAUCCUUGAUCUUUUAUGAGAUUGAGCCAAUAAGGCUUACACUUAAAAUUUAAUUUGUUUGAAACACUCCUCUAAAAUCAAUCAUUCAAAUAUUAGAAAACAAGUAAAAUAUUUUUCAUAUGUUGAUUAAUAUACCCAAGGUAGUUCUUGAAUUAUCCUAACACAAAUAUCUUUCAAGUCUUAAUUUUGUCAAACCAAUAUAUAUCUUUAGAUUUCUAAAG